UUCAAGCGAUGGGGUGACGCAGGAAGGUAGCUGGGCCAGUCAGUGGUUGUACUGGUGUAAGAGUGUAGGCCGUGACAUAGGCAAAUCCGUGUCACAUUAAGGCUGAGACUUGAUGCAUACCCGUUGUGGGGAAUUCAGUGAUCCUAUGCUGCCGAGAAAAGCCUCUAGUGAGUUCAUACACGGCCCGUACCCCAAACCGACACAGGUGAUAGGUAGAGAAUACCAAGGCGAUCGAGAGAACUGUGGUUAAGGAACUCGGCAAAAUGCCCCCGUAACUUCGGGAGAAGGGGGACCAUGCCCGGUGAACAUCUUCACGGUGGGAGCUGGGUGUGGUCGCAGAGACCAGAGAGAAGCGACUGUUUACUAAAAACACAGGUCCGUGCGAAGACGUAAGUCGAUGUAUACGGACUGACGCCUGCCCGGUGCUGGAAGGUUAAGAGGACCGGUUAGCCGUAAGGCGGAGCUGAGAAUUUAAGCCCCAGUAAACGGCGGUGGUAACUAUAACCAUCCUAAGGUAGCGAAAUUCCUUGUCGGGUAAGUUCCGACCUGCACGAAUGGCGUAACGACUUCUCUGCUGUCUCGACCACAGACUCGGCGAAAUUGCACUACGAGUAAAGAUGCUCGUUACGCGCGGCAGGACGAAAAGACCCCGGGACCUUUACUAUAGCUUGGUAUUGGCGUUCGAUUCGGUUUGUGUAGGAUAGGUGGGAGACUGUGAAGCAUGCACGCCAGUGUGUGUGGAGUCGUUGUUGAAAUACCACUCUGAUCGUAUUGGACGUCUAACCUCGGCCCAUGAUCUGGGUUAGGGACAGUGCCUGGUGGGUAGUUUAACUGGGGCGGUUGCCUCCUAAAGAGUAACGGAGGCGCCCAAAGGUUCCCUCAGCCUGGAUGGCAAUCAGGUGUUGAGUGCAAGUGCACAAGGGAGCUUGACUGUGAGACUGACACGUCGAGCAGGGACGAAAGUCGGGACUAGUGAUCCGGCACCGGCAAGUGGAAGCGGUGUCGCUCAACGGAUAAAAGGUACCCCGGGGAUAACAGGCUGAUCUUCCCCAAGAGUCCAUAUCGACGGGAUGGUUUGGCACCUCGAUGUCGGCUCGUCGCAUUCUGGGGCUGGAGUAGGUCCCAAGGGUUGGGCUGUUCGCCCAUUAAAGCGGCACGCGAGCUGGGUUUAGAACGUCGUGAGACAGUUCGGUCUCUAUCCGCCGCGCGCGUAAGAAACUUGAGGAAGGCCGUCCCUAGUACGAGAGGACCGGGACGGACGAACCUCUGGUGUGCCAGUUGUUCCACCAGGAGCAUGGCUGGUUAGCUACGUUCGGAAGGGAUAACCGCUGAAAGCAUCUAAGCGGGAAGCCUGUUCCAAGAUGAGGUUUCUCAC
rnacentral:rRNA from 1 species